rnacentral:rRNA from 1 species
GCCUGCCAGUGACCAUGUGUUCAACGGCCGCGGUAUUCUGACCGCGCGAAGGUAGCGUAAUCACUUGUUUUUUAAAUAAAGACUAGUAUGAACGGCCGCACGAGGACCUAACUGUCUCCUUUGUCCAAUCAGUGAAACUGAUCUCCUCGUGCAGAAGCGAGGAUCUUAUCAUAAGACGAGAAGACCCUAUGGAGCUUUAAACUUUUAUUAAUUAUUUUCUUCACCCCUCUAAGGAGCCAACAACUAAUUUAAUUUUUUUAUAAAAGUUUUGGGUUGGGGCGACCAUGGAGGAAAAAUAAUCCUCCCUGAUGACACCUAACUAAGAGCCACAGCUCCAAAUAUUAAGACACUUAACUCCUAUUGACCCAUUUUAUGAUCAACGAACCAAGUUACCCUAGGGAUAACAGCGCAAUCCAUUUCAAGAGUCCUUAUCGACAAAUGGGUUUACGACCUCGAUGUUGGAUCAGGGCAUCCAAGUGGUGCAACCGCUACUAAAGGUUCGUUUGUUCAACGAUUAAAGCCCUACGUGAUCU